UUUUGUCUGGGGGUCCUUGCCCCCCCACUGUUGGCACCUCCCAACACACUGCCACGUGGGGGUGGAGGUGGCAGCCCCCAUGAGACCCAGCCCCAGCUCAGCCCCUCACAGGCAAGAUGUCAGCCCCACCCAGGUUGGUCGGUCUCUCUCUCUCUGUCUCUCCCACCCCCCUCUCUACCCCCGUCCCUUGCCUUAAACCCCUGAUCCUGCUCUCCUCUGCCCCCGCCGCCCCCACCUGCCUUUUUUAGACAAAACCAGGGGUGAUCCAGCCAUUGGCUCAGGCCUGGCCAAGGGGCUCCCCAGCCCCCAGGGGCAGAGGUUGUCCCCACUCCGUGAGUGCUCUGUCCCGUGGGUGGGGGUGGCAGAGCCUCCUUCCCCAGCAGGAUGGUGGGUGGGGAUCAAAGGCAGGCGGGGGGACAGGCGGGGGGACAGCCGGUGGUGAGUUGCACACAGCUGCAGCCCCGACAGCUGCCCCAGCAUAGCUCACAAGAGCCCCACCCCCCAGCCGCCCUCCCCGCCUUCUCCGGAUGAGCUGCCCGCCAAUGUGAAGCAGGCCUACAGGGCCUUCGCGGCCGUGCCCACUUCUCACCCGCCUGAGGAUGCCCCUGCCCAGCCCCCCACGCCUGGGCCUGCAGCCUCCCCGGAGCAGCUGUCCUUCCGGGAGCGGCAGAAGUACUUUGAGCUGGAGGUGCGCGUGCCCCAGGCCGAGGGCCCCCCUAAGCGCGUGUCCCUGGUGGGUGCUGACGACCUGCGGAAGAUGCAGGAGGAGGAAGCCAGAAAACUACAGCAGAAGAGAGCGCAGAUGCUGCGGGAGGCGGCAGAGGCUGGGGCCGAAGCGAGGCUCGCCCUGGACGGGGAGACGCUGGGCGAGGAGGAACAGGAGGAUGAGCAGCCACCCUGGGCCAGCCCGAGCCCCACCUCAAGAGCCCGGCGUCCCCCCCACCCCUGGGAGGUGGCGCCCCGGUGCGGACGGCCAAAGCUGAACGGCGCCACCAGGAGCGGCUGCGCGUGCAGAGUCCGGAGCCACCGGCACCCGAGCGUGCCCUGUCCCCUGCCGAGCUCCGGGCCCUGGAGGCCGAGAAGCGUGCGCUGUGGAGGGCAGCCAGGAUGAAGUCAUUGGAACAGGACGCUCUCCGAGCACAGAUGGUCCUCAGCAGGUCCCAGGAAGGCCGGGGCACGCGGGGGCCCCUGGAGCGACUGGCCGAGGCCCCUUCCCCUGCGCCCACCCCGUCGCCCACCCCUGUGGAAGUCACCGGACUUUGCUGAGGAGUUGAGGUCCCUGGAACCAUCUCCCAGCCCUGGCCCGCAGGAGGAGGAUGGAGAAGUGGCUCUGGUGCUUCUGGGCAGGCCCUCACCCGGCGCUGUGGGCCCUGAAGAUGUGGCACUGUGCAGCAGCCGCCGCCCCGUAAGGCCUGGGCGCCGUGGCCUGGGCCCUGUGCCCUCCUAGAGGAGCAGGCACCUCCCCCAGACUUGGGGUGGGGGCCCUGCCAGCUCCAGCACCACCCUUGCCCCAAGUCUUUUAACCUGGGUGUUAGCAUUUUAAAGAGACCCCACAGGAGUUCUGGCCUGUGACUAACUAACUGCCCCACCCCAGCCGAGACCUCGGCGAGACUGUAACUAGUGAUGUUUGUACAACCAAAGACUCUAUUUUGUGGUUUAAGGAGAAUAAAGUUGACUACAUUUUA
rnacentral:lncRNA from 1 species